rnacentral:rRNA from 1 species
CAUCCCUGAUGUUAGCGGCGGACGGGUGAGUAACACGUGGGUAACCUGCCUGUAAGACUGGGAUAACUCCGGGAAACCGGGGCUAAUACCGGAUGGUUGUUUGAACCGCAUGGUUCAAACAUAAAAGGUGGCUUCGGCUACCACUUACAGAUGGACCCGCGGCGCAUUAGCUAGUUGGUGAGGUAACGGCUCACCAAGGCGACGAUGCGUAGCCGACCUGAGAGGGUGAUCGGCCACACUGGGACUGAGACACGGCCCAGACUCCUACGGGAGGCAGCAGUAGGGAAUCUUCCGCAAUGGACGAAAGUCUGACGGAGCAACGCCGCGUGAGUGAUGAAGGUUUUCGGAUCGUAAAGCUCUGUUGUUAGGGAAGAACAAGUACCGUUCGAAUAGGGCGGUACCUUGACGGUACCUAACCAGAAAGCCACGGCUAACUACGUGCCAGCAGCCGCGGUAAUACGUAGG